UUGGGGAUAAGACCUGUGUUUGUUCGCCACGGCAUUCCCAGCGGCUCGUGCGGCAUCUGGCAAGGCACAGUGCUCAUUACAUAUUGGGUGGAUGCAUGAAGGGGGUCUGGGUCAGUCUAGGUUCAGGCAGUGAACAGAACUCCUCUCAGAUGGUCUCCACGCUGAGCCUUUAACGAAGGAACUACUUACUGACAGAGGGGUGAGUAAGGUUCUGAGGACCAAUGGGAAGCCGAUGAGGUCUCCAGAAACUCACAAGGGUGCCAGGCCAUCACCCCCUCGAAGCCUGAAGGAACAAGAGGAGGAAGUCAUGUAUCUUGAGUCCAAGAAGUGUGAGCUGCGCUCGGAAAUGGUAUUCGCAGACGGACAGAGGGACAGAGCGACACAAGGUAUCGAAGCGGCAGGGAGGAAAGAAGAAAUCUCUCUACACCCUUCCCUCCCACUCUUUUCCUUCCUACAAUGGUUCCUGUUGGCUGAACCCAUCUGCAGGUCAUCCAGCCAGGGAGCUUGGGUGAUUGGGCCACUGGAGACAGGAACUCCAGAGUGCAAGGCAGAGGAGGACGAGGUUUCCAAGGCUGCUUUUGAAAGAGCACCCAUUCUUCCAGUGUGAAAACGCCCUUGCUGACCCGCUGUCGGGGAGCGGGGCGGGUGGCUCAUGGCUUUUGCUUUGAGAGUAAGAGACGUGCAGUGAUACACUGACAUCCUUCCAAGGUAACCGUGAGCCCCUCUGAAAGCCUUUUGUCAGGCAGUUGGCCAAGGCUAAGAGGACCACGCUGGAGUGGAGCUGAAGGCGGGUGUCAGAAACUCUCUUUUCGUGAAGGUAUAAACAUUUUAUUUUGAAAUGUCUGCAGUGUUUCUGCUCAGAAGAUGCAACACCUUGUCUCCCCUACCUUUGUUUUGGUAAGCGUUUCCCGUGUUUAAUUAAUUCUCAAUAUAGAGUUUAUCUCUAUGGUUUGUAAUUUAAAUUUUUUUUUAAUUUAAAGGUUUUUCUCUAGCCCCAUAGCUAUGUUGUAUUCCCAUUUAAAAGAACCUUCCAGAAGCUAGUAAAAUAAUGUCAGACAUAUGCUGAAUUUUCUAUGUACAACAUUUAAAAGCACUGCAUUCCCUACUUUUGCAUGUUGCUAUCUCAAAUGCUUCUAGGUUCUGGUUUGCAAAAUUGGUUUGCUUACAUGGAUUAGGAUGUGCAAAAAUGUCUUCACACCACCCUAUGCUUGAGCUCUAAUUUUCUGGAAUGGCAGGUGCUCUCAUCAGAGCUCAGCUAGGACCACCAGUCCUUGAAACGGUCCCUUCAGCUCCCUGUUGGUGAAAUACCAGGGCUACUCCAAGUGAGCUGCAGGGCACCUUCCAGUCCUAAAUUCUACAGUUUUCAUUUGAAGCUCUAUUUGCCUUUCUCAUUAAAAAUAUUAAAGGAUGAGAUUAAAUAAUGGAAGAGAGGGGACUUAGAAUAGUUAACUCCCAUGGCAUUAUACUUUGCUGUUUUAUGGGGAAAAAACUUUUAAUCCAAUAAAAGGAUUGGAUAGCCCACCCCUCAGCAUGCAAAAAAGACAGUGUUGAAGCUCGAGAUAGCUUGGUCUUACCUCCCAUGAGCUAUCCAAGCCCUAAAAUCUGGCAAAAAUGGACAGAGGCAGACCGCAUGACUACAGACGGCAGAGGUAGGAAUCACGGAGGAAAGAGUAUAAGGGAAACCCACAGGAAGCUUUUUGAUUGGCUUCUGCUCCCAUUUUAUUGGCCGAUCAACCAGAAUCAUGAUUCUUGGUGUGCAUCAUUUUGUUCUUUGUUAUUUGUAAAUCAUGCCACGCUGUGCCUCGAGCCAAGGAAGAAGAGGCUUGACUUGUGAGUUGGUCAACAACCUUGCCAAGAUGCCCUGGACGGAUGUCCCAAAGUGAGCCAAGAAGACGAGAAACAGAUUUGAUGAAGGGAAAGACAGACUUUGUAGAGAAACUGAAUCAGAGCUGGUUGCAGCUCGAGAGGGGGGCUGUGAGAGAAGCCACAAUGCGCGAGGGGACUCGAGAGGAGACAGCAGUGUGGGUUGAGGCAGGUCAGAGGGCGACUGGGUCAGGCAACAGAGCAGUACAUUAAGCGACCAGACGAAGCUGGAAAAAUGCAUGAAGUGGGGAGUGGCUGCUCAGGGGAGUUUUCAUCCAUGCAGAUAAAAAAAAAAGAAAAAAAAGGCCCAUGGAAGCUAAAUCGAUAGAGAUGCUAAGAAUCCUAGCCAAUGAAGCCUGGGAAAC